rnacentral:misc_RNA from 1 species
AAGCAAAAGAACCAGGAUUUUUCAUACAACGAGACGUAUUUGAUGAAGAGAAAUCAGGAUCGCAGACAGGAAGUUCAAAAAAUGAUGUGACAAUCACAUUGUUAGAUCCUCGGUAGAGUGUAAACAAGAAAACUAGAUUGACUUGUGUGCACAUGAAUAGUAAUUUAGAAAUGGCAAAGAACUUUGAUUCUUGACUAAUAUAACAAUA